CCGGCGCGUAGUCCGUAAUGUGUCGGCGAGCAAGGGCACUACGCUAUGCGAUAAGAUUGAGGGAGUUUGAUUAGGCUACUAGUACUACUAGUACUACUACCACCACACCAGACUGCCAUGAUUUUCGAUCUGGGUGGAGAAGUGGCGUCUUCCUUCCCCACCUCUCCCGCCUUUUCCCCACCAUUCGCCGGGGAAGGAGGACGAGAAGAGCUGUCGCUAGCAGAGCUGCUGCUGCACUGUUGAGCUGCCGCGCUGUUGAGAGAAGCCGCUGUUCGAAAAGGAAACCAAAUAAAGCUGUGGAUAGUACCACCGCCCUGCCCUCGAGAUGUUCGCGUGGUGAAAGUAGCACCAUGUAGCGGUGCUCCACCUACUGUCUACUGAGUGAGUACUAGGAUCAUCCCAUUGCAGGCAAUGCAACGGAAGCCCGUGACGGUCGGUUUUGCUUCUUCCAGAUCUGCCUUUGCUAGAACAGCGCCCAACUGACUCCCAGUUCAGGAUGUUUGCACGUCGUCCAUGCACGCUGUUUGCACGGAGUUGGAAAUGUGUGUGGGCAAAGUUUUCUCUUUGUCUUCAUUUAGCAGUCCCUCCUGCCAAUGCAUUGCACGGGCGCGCUUCAAGUGGGCGGACGCGCCUAUGAAGGAACCCAAAUACUUAGAAACGCAGCUGCGCUCUCUGGAUGUUCCGAGCACACGUACUAGCCGACAAACUGCAAACGUCGCUCCCUUCCAAAAAAACAGCACACCGAUACAUCCCUUCCGCUAUCCUUAUCCCGGUCCCUCUCCAGAAAAAAGCCUUAUCCCGAUCCCUUUCCUCCUCUCAGAACGGAGGUGAAGAAGCACGGGAGCACACCGGAGCGUCGAUGUGGAGGCGGCGGAUCAGAGGAGCCGGCGAAGAGGUCGGCCAGGACGGGAAUAGCAGCGCCACCGUCUCUUCCUCCCAAAUUUUCAGUGCGGAGCUGGAGUAAUGCCGUCGGCGUCGUGGUCGAGCCGUCAAGGGUGCGGGAUGUGGGAUGUCCACCCAUCCGCAACUACUGGAAGAACACGCUGGCAGCGAGCGUCCCCAAGAGCAAGGGAGGAGAUGAUGUUGCAGCUCAAGGGGGCCUCACUACCUGAAGGUGAGCAUGGAUGGCGCCCAUUUUCCCCCAUCAAAUUUGUACAAAUUCGUUGCAGAGCAAUGGACAUUUGUGUUUGAAUCAGUGGGUGAACUUUUUGCAAUCAAUAGAUAGGCAGUUAUGUGAAUUAUGGGGAGAAAGCAGUCCCUUGGAUUUCUAGAAGAGUUGCCUCGUAUUGUAAUGCAGUUGCUUGAUUUUGUUA